rnacentral:rRNA from 2 species
UGGCGCCUUCGGUGUCCGAGUUGUAAUUUGAAGAAGGUAACUUUGGUUUUGGCUCUUGUCUAUGUUCCUUGGAACAGGACGUCACAGAGGGUGAGAAUCCCGUGCGAUGAGAUGCCCAAUUCCAUGUAAAGUGCUUUCGAAGAGUCGAGUUGUUUGGGAAUGCAGCUCUAAGUGGGUGGUAAAUUCCAUCUAAAGCUAAAUAUUGGCGAGAGACCGAUAGCGAACAAGUACAGUGAUGGAAAGAUGAAAAGAACUUUGAAAAGAGAGUGAAAAAGUACGUGAAAUUGUUGAAAGGGAAGGGUUUGAGAUCAGACUUGGUAUUUUGUAUGUUUUACUCUCGGGUGAGGCCUCUGCAGUUUACUGGGCCAGCAUCAGUUUGGAUGGUAGGAUAAUGACAUUGGAAUGUGGCUCUUCGGAGUGUUAUAGCCCUUG